AGGCGAGUAUAUUUAUGAUUUCAACUCAUUAUCAUAUUCGUCAGUUCGUUGCCAUGGCACGUUUGAGGUCGGAUGUUCCAUCCAGAACCUUCUAGAAGCUGGUGUCAGCUCCUGUUCUGAGGCAUUAUCGGGACCAGUUCCUCCUUUGAAACAAACUGAAGAACUCCAUCUUCAAACGCCUGUGCAUAAAAAGAACUAACCCCUUGGAUCCACUCCCAAAGCCACAUGCUGCGUAAAGACAGGGAAGCACCUUGCAGGGCAGGAUUCGGUCUGUACCUCUGCACCAGCCAAGCCUUUCCGAUCUCUCCCAGAGUUGCAAUGAAGUGGCUGUGGAUGGGGACACGGACAGCUGGGCGAGGUGAAAGAACAAGCAAAGAAAGGAGACAUUAAAAUUACAAAGAGAAGAACAAUGGGGAAAGGGAAGAGGUGGUUUUCCAGAAGGGGAUAUUUAAAAAGCACUUUGUUUGCAAUUUUUG